GGAAGUGUCGUGAGCUAAGACAGUCGCGCGGGGACCAUCGAGAACAAGGAGUGCUGUUUCGAAGUAGCGGCUAGAGGGGCCCCCUGCCUCCGCCCCCGCCCUUCCGAGGAUUCCUGGAGUCCACUCACCCCUCCCCACCACUCCAGUAGCGGCGGGAGCAGCAGCGUUAGGCCGGGGUGUGGCUGCACCUCUGCGAAGGCUGUCGUGCCCCGUGCAGCUGCGGCGUUCGGGUGGGGGAGGGGAGGCUCACACCCUGCGGCGGCUUAAGCCUGGAUUUACGCACUGGAGGAGGGAAUUAGCCCUGAGAUGUCAGCCCUGUGCCCCUGGCGCUGUCCACCCGGACGCCCGCGGAGCGCCAGGCGCCGCAGCGGACCGCGCGCGCACUGAUUGCCGCAGCUACUCUCCCUGCCGUCGCCGCCCGGGACCGGGUGACAUUGAGGUUUUCGUCUAUCGCCGCUGGGCCGAUAGGGCUUCUUUUUAAGAUUUGGCUUUCCAAGUAAGAUUUUUGUUUGCCUGCUUUUCUCCUGGAAUUUUUUUGUUUUUGGUCGAAGAAGCAGGUAACUUGCAUAUCUUAAGGAAAACAUUGUUUUUGCUUUGCUUUUGUUGUUUAAAGAUCCUAAAACGUACCGUGAUUCCUUUACGUUACUAAUAAUUGGAAAGUGUGUUAAAUCAAGGGUUCGCUUAAUGUUCUUUAGCCUUUGUACAUAGAAUAUAUAAAUGUCGUGAGUCAUCUUUAC
rnacentral:lncRNA from 10 species